GCUGAUGUAGCUCAGUUGGUAGAGCAACUGAUUCGUAAUCAGUAGGUCGGAGGUUCGAUUCCUCUCAUCAGCA
rnacentral:tRNA from 3 species